rnacentral:rRNA from 1 species
ACUCCUACGGGAGGCAGCAGUGGGGAAUUUUGGACAAUGGGCGCAAGCCUGAUCCAGCCAUGCCGCGUGCAGGAUGAAGGCCUUCGGGUUGUAAACUGCUUUUGUACGGAACGAAAAGGUUUGGCUUAAUACGUUGAACUCAUGUCGGUACCGUAAGAAUAAGCACCGGCUAACUACGUGCCAGCAGCCGCGGUAAU